CGGAGUGUAGCGCAGCUGGUAGCGCACCUCGUUCGGGACGAGGGGGUCGCAGGUUCAAAUCCUGCCACUCCGACCA
rnacentral:tRNA from 1 species